UUGCAUAUCAAAAAAGCGGAGGAAAAGAAACCAACAGGGAUUGCCCUAGUAACGGCGAGUGAAGCGGCAACAGCUCAAAUUUGAAAGCUGGCCUUCGGGUCCGCAUUGUAAUUUGUAGAGGAUGCUUUGGGUAAAACGCCAGUCUAAGUUCCUUGGAACAGGACGUCAUAGAGGGUGAGAAUCCCGUAUGUGACUGGAAAUGUUAACCUAUGUAAAGCUCCUUCGACGAGUCGAGUUGUUUGGGAAUGCAGCUCUAAAUGGGAGGUAAAUUUCUUCUAAAGCUAAAUAUUGGCGAGAGACCGAUAGCGCACAAGUAGAGUGAUCGAAAGAUGAAAAGCACUUUGGAAAGAGAGUUAAAAAGCACGUGAAAUUGUUGAAAGGGAAGCGCUUGCAAUCAGACUUGUUUAAACUGUUCGGCCGGUCUUCUGACCGGUUUACUCAGUUUGGACAGGCCAGCAUCAGUUUCGGCGGCCGGAUAAAGGCUCUGGGAAUGUGGCCUCCACUUCGGUGGAGGUGUUAUAGCCCAGUGUGUAAUACGGCCAGCCGGGACUGAGGUCCGCGCUUCGGCUAGGAUGCUGGCGUAAUGGUUGUAAGCGACCCGUCUUGAAACCACGGACCAA
rnacentral:rRNA from 1 species